ensembl:lncRNA
UGACCUUUGUCCACCUUAUUUGCUUUUUUUAAUGGGACCAAUAAUUCCAGCCCUCCUACCUCACAAGGUUUUAUGAGGCAAAAAGGAGAAAACGGUUACCAAGCGGCUUUCAAAACCAUGGAGCAAAGAGCCAACUAAAUUGGAAGGCCAGAUUUUUGACCACUGCCUCUUCAAGCAUGACAUCUGCUUGUGUGAGUGUGUGUGUGCGCGUGCGCCAAUUAGACGUGUGUGGAACUAGGGGUAAUAGAACAGCAGCAGCAUUUGUGGAGUAUGUGCUAUCUGCCAGGUGCUCCAUUUAACAAAGCACACGUGUCACCUGAAUUCACCCUAACAACAAACGAAGAAACAGGCGCAGAGAGGCUAAGUCACUUGCCCGCGGUGAUGCAGCUAGGAGUGCAGCUGCUGUUCCUCUGCACGUCGGCAAUGACAACAACGGUGGGGAUGGAAGUCUUUCUGUCAAUGCAAGGCCUGGAGCCGGCAGCCGGGGCGGAAGCUCUGGGGCUCCCGCAGCCCAGCCAAGCUGUCCACGGUGUGAGGCCGCUGCUCUUGGGUCGGUGGGGAGGGGACAGAGUGGCUGAAUCAGGUCAGAAGUCUGACAGGGGUCUCAUUGAGCAAAAAUCAAG